GACUACCGGGGUAUCUAAGCCUGUUUGCUCCCCACGCUUUCGCGCCUCAGCGUCAGUACCUGUCCAGGUGGCCGCCUUCGCCACCGGUGUUCCUCCGGAUAUCUACGGAUUUCACUCCUACACCCGGAAUUCCGCCACCCUCUCCAGGACUCAAGCCUCGCAGUAUCGAACGCAGUUCCCCGGUUGAGCCGAGGGCUUUCACGUCCGACUUACAAAGCGGCCUACGCGCGCUUUACGCCCAGUGAUUCCGAUUAACGCUUGCACCCUCCGUAUUACCGCGGCUGCUGGCACGGAGUUAGCCGGUGCUUCCUUUGAAAGUACCGUCAGUCCCAAGCCCUAUUCGGACUUGGGAGGUUCUUCCUUUCUGACAGAGGUUUACGACCCGAAAGCCUUCUUCCCUCACACGGCGUCGCUGCGUCAGGGUUUCCCCCAUUGCGCAAUAUUCCCCACUGCAGCCACCCGUAGG
rnacentral:rRNA from 1 species